CUGUAGAACAGUGUAAAUUUGCUAUCACCUCAAAAUAAUUCAACACACAGUCAUUAACGUCUAAACCGCUGGCAACAAAAGUGAGUACACCCCUAAUUGAAAAUGUCCAAAUUGUCAAUAUUUUCUGUGGCCACCAUUAUUUUCCAGCACUGCCUUAACCCUCAUGGGCAUGGAGUCCACCAGAGCUUUAUAGGCUUCCACUCCUCCAUGAAGACAUCACAGAGCUGGUGGAUAUUAGAGACCUUGCGCUCCCCCACCUUCAGUUUGAGGAUGCCCCACAGAUGCUCAAAAGGGUUUAGGUCUGGAGACAUGCUUGGCCAUUCAAACACCUUUACCUUUAACUUCUUUAGCAAGGCAGUGGUCAUCUUGGAGGUGUGUUUAGGGUCCUUAUGUUGGAAUACUGCCCUGCGGCCCAGUCUCUGAAGGGAGGAGAUCAUGCUCUGCUUCAGUAUGUCACAGUACAUGUUGGCAUUCAUUGUUCCCCUCAAUGAACUGUAACUCCCCAUUACUGGCAGCACUCAUGCAGGCUUAGACUAUGACCACGACCAUGCUUGACUGUAGGCAAGACAUACUUGUUUUUGUACUCCUCACGUGGUUGCCGCCACACAUGCUUGACAACAUCUGAUCCAAAUAAAUUUAUCUUGGUAUCAUCGGAGCUCAGGACAUGGUUCUAGUAAUCCAUCUCAGUCUGCUUGUCUUCAGUAAACGGUUUGUGGGCUUUCUUUACAUCAUCUUUAGACGAUGAUUCCUUCUGGGACGACAGCCAUGCAGACCAAUUUGAUGCAGGGUGCGGCGUAUGAUCUGAGCACUGACAGGCUGACCCCUGUACCCCUUCAACCUCUGCAGAUAUGCUGGCAGCACUCAUACGUCUUUUUCCCAUAGAUAACCUCUGGAUAUGACGCAAAGCACAUGCACUCAACUUCUUUGGUCGACCAUGGCGAGGCCUGUUCAGCAUGGACCUGUCCUUUGAAACCUCUGUAUGGUCUUGCCCACCGUGCUUCAGCUCAGUUUCAGGGUCUUGGCAAUCUUCUUAUAGUCUAGGCCAUCUUUAUGUUGAGCAACAAUUUUUUUUUCUCAGAUCCUCAAAGUUCUUUGCCAUGAGGUGUCAUGUUGAACUUCCAGUGACCAGUAUAUGAGAGAGAACACCAAAUUCAACACAUCUGCUCCCCAUUUACACCUGAGACCUUGUAACACUAAUGAGUCACAUGACAACAGGGAGGGAAAAUAGCUAAUUGGGCCCAAUUUGGACAUAUCCACUUAGGGGUGUACUUACUUUUGUUGCCAACGC